rnacentral:rRNA from 1 species
AAAUUGAAGAGUUUGAUCAUGGCUCAGAUUGAACGCUGGCGGCAGGCCUAACACAUGCAAGUCGAGCGGUAACACAGAGAGCUUGCUCUCGGGUGACGAGCGGCGGACGGGUGAGUAAUGUCUGGGAAACUGCCUGAUGGAGGGGGAUAACUACUGGAAACGGUAGCUAAUACCGCAUAACGUCGCAAGACCAAAGUGGGGGACCUUCGGGCCUCAUGCCAUCAGAUGUGCCCAGAUGGGAUUAGCUAGUAGGUGGGGUAAUGGCUCACCUAGGCGACGAUCCCUAGCUGGUCUGAGAGGAUGACCAGCCACACUGGAACUGAGACACGGUCCAGACUCCUACGGGAGGCAGCAGUGGGGAAUAUUGCACAAUGGGCGCAAGCCUGAUGCAGCCAUGCCGCGUGUAUGAAGAAGGCCUUCGGGUUGUAAAGUACUUUCAGCGAGGAGGAAGGCGUUAAGGUUAAUAACCUUGGCGAUUGACGUUACUCGCAGAAGAAGCACCGGCUAACUCCGUGCCAGCAGCCGCGGUAAUACGGAGGGUGCAAGCGUUAAUCGGAAUUACUGGGCGUAAAGCGCACGCAGGCGGUCUGUCAAGUCGGAUGUGAAAUCCCCGGGCUCAACCUGGGAACUGCAUUCGAAACUGGCAGGCUAGAGUCUUGUAGAGGGGGGUAGAAUUCCAGGUGUAGCGGUGAAAUGCGUAGAGAUCUGGAGGAAUACCGGUGGCGAAGGCGGCCCCCUGGACAAAGACUGACGCUCAGGUGCGAAAGCGUGGGGAGCAAACAGGAUUAGAUACCCUGGUAGUCCACGCCGUAAACGAUGUCGACUUGGAGGUUGUGCCCUUGAGGCGUGGCUUCCGGAGCUAACGCGUUAAGUCGACCGCCUGGGGAGUACGGCCGCAAGGUUAAAACUCAAAUGAAUUGACGGGGGCCCGCACAAGCGGUGGAGCAUGUGGUUUAAUUCGAUGCAACGCGAAGAACCUUACCUACUCUUGACAUCCAGAGAACUUAGCAGAGAUGCUUUGGUGCCUUCGGGAACUCUGAGACAGGUGCUGCAUGGCUGUCGUCAGCUCGUGUUGUGAAAUGUUGGGUUAAGUCCCGCAACGAGCGCAACCCUUAUCCUUUGUUGCCAGCGAUUCGGUCGGGAACUCAAAGGAGACUGCCAGUGAUAAACUGGAGGAAGGUGGGGAUGACGUCAAGUCAUCAUGGCCCUUACGAGUAGGGCUACACACGUGCUACAAUGGCAUAUACAAAGAGAAGCGACCUCGCGAGAGCAAGCGGACCUCAUAAAGUAUGUCGUAGUCCGGAUUGGAGUCUGCAACUCGACUCCAUGAAGUCGGAAUCGCUAGUAAUCGUAGAUCAGAAUGCUACGGUGAAUACGUUCCCGGGCCUUGUACACACCGCCCGUCACACCAUGGGAGUGGGUUGCAAAAGAAGUAGGUAGCUUAACCUUCGGGAGGGCGCUUACCACUUUGUGAUUCAUGACUGGGGUGAAGUCGUAACAAGGUAACCGUAGGGGAACCUGCGGUUGGAUCACCUCCUUACCUUAAAGAA